UACAGAGGGGGCAAGCGUUGUUCGGAAUUACUGGGCGUAAAGGGCGCGUAGGCGGCCUGCUAAGUCGAACGUGAAAUCCCUGGGCUCAACCCAGGAACUGCGUCCGAUACUGGUUGGCUUGAAUCCGGGAGAGGGACGUGGAAUUCCAGGUGUAGCGGUGAAAUGCGUAGAUAUCUGGAGGAACACCGGUGGCGAAGGUGACGUCCUGGACCGGCAUUGACGCUGAGGCGCGAAAGCCAGGGGAGCAAACGGG
rnacentral:rRNA from 1 species